rnacentral:rRNA from 1 species
UAGCUGUAAGGACCACAAAUUUACAGUGAAUUCUGCCCAGUGAUGAAGAUUAAACGGCCGCGUUUGUGCUAAGGUAGCAUAAUAAUUCGCCUUUUAAUUGGAGGCUAGUAUGAAGGGAAAUAUAAACUAAAACUUUAUUAUUUAUAAUCCUGAAACUUAUACUCAGUGUGAAAAUACACUGAUAAAUUAAAAAGACCAAAAGACCCUAGGAGCUUAAAUUAAAUAAGGGUUACCUUCUACUAAUUUUAAUUGGGGCGAUUCAGGAUAAACCUCCUGUGAAUAAAAAUUUUAAACCUUUUAUAACUAAACACAUAGCUACCCUAGGGAUAACAGGCUACUCUUUUUUAAAAGUCCAAAUUAACAAAAAGACAUAGCACCUCGAUGUUGGCUUAGGAGUAAGUAAAAUGUAGCAGUUUUACCCAACGGCUUGUUC